GAUGAACGCUAGCUACAGGCUUAACACAUGCAAGUCGAGGGGCAUCAUGUCGGUUGCUUGCAACCGAUGAUGGCGACCGGCGAAUGGGUGAGUAACGCGUAUCCAACCUGCCCCCGGCCGGGGUAUAACCCGUCGAAAGGCGGCCUAAUCCCCCAUGUAGUCCUCUGAGGUCCUCCGAUGAGGAUGAAAGGUAUUUUUCCGGCCGGUCGAUGGGGAUGCGUCCGAUUAGCUUGCUGGCGGGGUAACGGCCCACCAGGGCUUCGAUCGAUAGGGGUUCUGAGAGGAAGGUCCCCCACACUGGUACUGAGACACGGACCAGACUCCUACGGGAGGCAGCAGUGAGGAAUAUUGGUCAAUGGGCGGAAGCCUGAACCAGCCAAGUAGCGUCAGGA
rnacentral:rRNA from 1 species